CGGGCACUGCCCGGCACGAGCCGCUGCGAAUAUCCCUGAGGCGAUACAUCAUCCAAGGGAGCUGUCCCUGCCCGGACCCUGGUCCGACGUACAUGGCCCCCACCUGACGUUACUGGCGUCAGAGGAUUUUCCGGCAAACGACCACGGUGGUCCCGCC
rnacentral:sRNA from 1 species